rnacentral:rRNA from 1 species
AUUGAACGCUGGCGGCAUGCUUUACACAUGCAAGUCGAACGGUAACAGGCCGCAAGGUGCUGACGAGUGGCGAACGGGUGAGUAAUGCAUCGGAACGUGCCCAGUCGUGGGGGAUAACUACUCGAAAGAGUAGCUAAUACCGCAUCCGAUCUAUGGAUGAAAGCGGGGGACCGUAAGGCCUCGCGCGAUUGGAGCGGCCGAUGUCAGAUUAGGUAGUUGGUGGGGUAAAGGCUCACCAAGCCAACGAUCUGUAGCUGGUCUGAGAGGACAACCAGCCACACUGGGACUGAGACACGGCCCAGACUCCUACGGGAGGCAGCAGUGGGGAAUUUUGGACAAUGGGCGCAAGCCUGAUCCAGCAAUGCCGCGUGCAGGAAGAAGGCCUUCGGGUUGUAAACUGCUUUUGUACGGAACGAAACGGCUCUGGUUAAUACCCGGGGCUAAUGACGGUACCGUAAGAAUAAGCACCGGCUAACUACGUG